rnacentral:lncRNA from 1 species
UUAUUCAAUACUUUAUUUAACUGUAUUAAACUGGUGUUACUUUUGUGUUGGUAAUAUAAUUUUAGAUCUGUUUAGAACAGAAAUUAAUUUUUAAUUACAUGUGAUAAACAUGAGACACUCAUUCUGUAAACCAAAUACUGCUUUUUGUUAAAAUGUCCACAGUGCAGUACAGUUGAAUGGUACUGAUAUGGUUGUAUAACUUAGUUUUAAAAUAAUUAUUUUUUUAUGUUGUGAGUCACCAGAUGGCAAAGUAUUCUGAUAAUGACCCCUUUGGAUGAAGCCCAAAUAAAAAUGCAAGUGUUAACACACCCAAUCUGGUCUCCCAAACUGCUUUUGGGUUGUGGAGAACCUUUUGUAACUCUUAAUGUCUUUCUGUGGUUGUGGUCCCUAGACUAUUAUUUAUUAAAAAUCAAACUUUAAGAGGAAGUAUCUCAAUUUUACCUGACUACUGGUCCUGCAGUUCACUCUCUCUUUUCCAUAAACAGAAAAUUGUAUGGUAUUCACAUGUUUAAAAAAAUGUUGCCACAUCAAAAAAAUAGUCACAUUUUGGUUCAGAGAGUUCUGGCCGGAGGGCCCUUAUCAUAGGUUUUCAAACGGAGACAUGUGAUCAGGAGGGCAGACUCUAGCCUGGCUGGUUUGUUUAAAAGAUGAGGAAUGAAGCACUGGGACUCAGACCUGAACCUUAAUCAGACAAUCUCAGAAAUCAGAAUCGUCUCCUGCCACUGAAUCCAAUUCAAGAAUGAAGAAGAUCCUGCUGGUGACUCUGCUUCUUGCUGGGAUGAUAAUAAGUGGUUCUGCCCUACAAUGUUACUUCUGUGUUCCUGAGAGUGGGAAGCCUUGCAAUCCCACCAUAGAAAACUGUGGCCCUGGAAAAGAUACCUGCUUUCAAGGCGUACGCAGCAUUCCCAGUUUAAUCCAGAAGAAAUGUAUGCGUAUGGAAGAGUGUGAGGACAAGCGGGACAGUCGUUCCAUGAGAGUCCAGUGCUGUCAGACAGACCUCUGCAACAAGUAG